GUGUGUGUGUGUGUCGUGUAAUGCAGCUGCUGCGUGAUGAUCAACAUCCACAAGCUUCUUUACUUCGCUAACUGUGGGAGCAGGCGUAAAUAGAUGGCCUCUUCAUUAGCUGAGCUGGAGAUGCUGACCAUCAUGUUUUCUCUCCUGGUUUUUGCCCUCUUCACACUUGGAGGGAUGCUCAAUGAGGAAUGUGGACAGUCAAAUGCGACUAACACAAACCCACAAAACGAUGUGCUGACUGUCUGACUUUGAUGAGGGUUAUGAUUCAGAUACAGAAGAUUCACAGGGGAAAAGCAGCCCUCUGAGAAUGUGACAGUCAAAGCCCCCUCCUGUGUGAACCUGUUGGUUACCAGACAAAAAGUUGAACUGAUAACCUCUGAACACAAGUGCAUGUGUACUUUGUUAAAGGAUCUUGCAUCCUCCAGGAUGAGCCAUAGGGGAGUGGCCUACACUACACAUUGUAAAAGAAAAAAAAAGGACUGAACAAAGAAACGCCUGCUUUAACAAACAGUGUCAAGUCAGUAUCUCGUGCCUGCUUUCUUUGUGAGAGUGUGAAGACAGAAGGAUUUUAUCUAACCUAGAACUGAAAGCAGCUGCUUCUACCAUUGUGUAGAUGGAACUGCCAUUCACUGGCUUUGAGCUGACCUUCAUCAUCGUUGCCUUCAUCAUCUUCACUCUCUUCAGUUUGGCUUCAGUCUGUUUUCAACCACAGGCAGCCCGGCCAGGUACACAUUUAGCCUCUGAUAUCACCACAGAAACCAACGUCAGCCUCUCUAACGCCGAUUAUCUAUGCUCUAUCUCAGAAAAAGAUGUCUAUGAAGUGAAGAAACUGCAGCCAUGUAACAGGAAGCAGAGAGUGAUCAUCAAAGAAGCUGGACAGAACACAUAAAGCAAACAUUAUAAACCCCAGCUGAGUGAAGGCAAAACUGAAAACACCGCUUACUGUUCUUCUUUUUUUUUUGUAUUAGUGUUGACGCAGUGCCCAUUACAGUAGGUUCCCACAAUAAAGAUAAGGUGGCAAUAAACUAGUACCCUAUUAACUAUACAGCUUCGUGAGUUAUGAGUAUUGUUAUAAGGCUGAAGGUAAUCAUUUAGAAGUGUAACACAAAUUGCUAACAGCAUAACGUGAUCUCAGCGUAUUUGUUCAGGUAUCUGGAGAGGACGAUUAGAUAAACUUGUAGAGCAAAGAUCCUGUUUGUACAGUUUAUCACUGUAACACCACAUCUUUUCUUUCCUCUAUGAUAAUUUGCUCUUUAGCCCCAUCUCCAGUUUUAAAAAAGCAUCAGCUGAAUUCUGAACUGAGGCCACAGAAAAAUAGGUAGAGUUAAAUGCCGUGGAGCUGAAGAACCAGACAGAGCCGAACACUGGUGCACAGAUCUCUGACAAGCCGUGAUGUCUGAGUUAGGAUUUAACAAACCAAGUG